GGGAGUUCUGUGAUUGGAGAGGAGAGGAGACAGGGAUGAGGCAGAGCAUGGGAUGGGGCUAUCAACAGAUGUAGAUUAUUCCUUGCACAAGAGAUGAUGAUGAGCUGUGAAUGAGUUCUGAGAGAUGGCUGGUGUUGUUGUUGCUCCCUCCCCUGCACUGCCUCUUCCCUGGCUCCCCUGCACACCUCUCUCUCUCUCUCUCUCUCUCUGUG
rnacentral:pre_miRNA from 1 species